UUGCUGCCUGCAUUUGUGUCCUGUUCCUGUGUUGGUUGAUAAAUAUAUUCAGUUCCUUGUGCCUGCUGAGUAUCUGCAUUUGGGUCCUCCUGCUUUGCAUUUGACAGUUCUCAUCCAAACAUAAGCGGUGAUUUCCCUGAGAGUUCCAGAAAAGAAACUCUGCAAAGCAAAAAGUACCCAGAAAUCCUCUUUAAGCAGGUACUGGCGUCCACGGUAGUUGGGGAGCUCGUAGAAGACCCAGGCACCGUCCUGCACAUGGGCAGAGUGGA